UACGUAGGGUGCGAGCGUUGUCCGGAAUUAUUGGGCGUAAAGGGCUCGUAGGCGGUUUGUCGCGUCGGGAGUGAAAACCUUGGGCUCAACUCAGGGCUUGCUUUCGAUACGGGCAGACUAGAGGUAUGCAGGGGAGAACGGAAUUCCUGGUGUAGCGGUGAAAUGCGCAGAUAUCAGGAGGAACACCGGUGGCGAAGGCGGUUCUCUGGGCAUGAUCUGACGCUGAGGAGCGAAAGUGUGGGGAGCGAACAGG
rnacentral:rRNA from 1 species